CCGCGCGCCUCCGUCAGCAGCUUCAUCUCCAUGCUCCGGCCGGAGGAGGUCCUUGACGCGGUCCGGGGCGGGGUGUACAGGGUUAGGAUCACCGCGGACGAGACGUGGGCGCGGCUGCUGAUUCUCCCCAUCCUCUCCUGGGAUUUUCUGGCAGACUCGAUGAAGGUUGUGCCGUACCACAACGGGAGAAGGGCGGAGGGGGUGGAGACUGCGGCGUCCAAUUACGGCGAUUGAAGCGGCCACUGGCGGGAUGGACGCCGUGGCUUCCACCAGCGAAAAUCGAGCUGCUCGCUCUUCUUUUCUUUCAGAUCAGAGAUGCCUUCAACAAAGGAGGUAAACUUAGGUACCUCUGAUCUUCCCUUCUAUUUUCUUCCUUUCUCGCUGUGUUGGUAAUCGAGAAAAGUUGCUUUAUUUACUUGAAUGAGGUUUCUGCUAUGGAUAGUAAUGGCCCUGGCAAGUUCAUACCCCAUACCUCUGGUGUUUUAGUGUGGUGGUCGAAAAUCGAGAUGACAUCCAGUUGCUUCAGUGAGAUCAGCUAAUCCACACGACAAGAGCUACAGGCGACACCAACUAUAGUACGAGUUCAGCAAAAUUCAUAGCAGUAUAAAUCCUUGCAAUGAAAUGAAUUGGUCAUCCCUAUAUAUGCACUUUUGAUUCAGACAUGGGUAUGGGUUCACCUGAAUUCAUAGCAGUGAGCUGUUUUGGUUAAGAGGUUAAAUCACCAAAAUCCCUAUGCAAUAUCCUUUUUUACACCCGAAUUUCUGAAUUCGUACCAAGUCUUAAUGGUUAAAUAUAUAAGCAUAACACUCUUGAUCUUUGUGAUCUUGCAAUGCCCGUUGGUGAUCUCCUAUUGCUGAAGCUCAAUAAUUUGGAUCUGCUAUUUGCUGAAUCUCAAUUCAAGAAGAUGUUUUCUUGCUAUUUUUUCACCUCUGCAGGUAAUUCUUAGAGAAUUAUGCAUAAACAAGACCUAGCCAUAUUUUAUAUAUAAUUGCCAGAUUCAUCUGGAGUGGACUGUAUGGCAUCGGAGCUUUUCCUUCAAAGUCUGUUGUUACUUCUGCUAUCUACAUUUGCAAGAUGUACAACUUAAUACUUUUGCGGGCGGAAACUCUACCCUUGCAUGCUCAACAGCAACAUGGUACAUCCAGUUUUUCAGGACAGCACGCCUCAGUACUGGUAGGUACAGACCAAUAUAUCUUAAUUGCCUCUUUCGAUCUCUAGAUAAGAGACUAGGUUCAGCAAUCAGGAAGUGAUAAAAUAUAUCUUUCCUUUUGGGUCAAAGAAAGUUCAAAUGUGUCAGAUUUCGUAUCUUGUUUGCAUUGGAAUCCUGAACAAUUUUGGUAUUUGGGGACUCAGUUUCAUCAAAGUUCAGUGUUAUUCUUAUACUAUCUAAAAUAGCAAGAUGAAGCCUGUAGCUUCAAGGGUCUAGCGGACGAGCCAUCUGAGCAAAAAGUACCUUCAUUGGUUGUAAAAUAGCACUAUUUUAUGGACUCAAGUUCGAAAGGAUUAGGGCACUGGAUUGGCUACAACUCCGUUUUAUCCUGGGAGACAAACAGAUCAGGGCGGUGUGGUCUGCUCUGUCCCCAUGAAGUUUUUGCAGGUCUACACAUAAGUUGCAGCUGAAGAAAGGCUUCAGGUAGGAGCAGUGGUUAGCUUAAAGAGAAGACACCCUAAGAAUGGUAGUUGCUCUGAUCAUCUUGAGUGAAUGCCACUGGAUACACACGGCUUCAGGUGCUAUGAAUUCCGUCAGUUACUCCUUGCAACCACCCCAACUUAGGUUCAAGAUACAUAUGAGGCAAAUUUUGAGUUUGUACUAGGACAACUUCACUGUUUUGUUACUUAUAUUUCCUCCUUA